rnacentral:ncRNA from 1 species
GCUGCGGAGUGUACUCGAACUUGUGAUCAGCGGUGAGAGCCGUGAAAGCAUACACAGUGAAACAGCAA